UACGAAGGGGCUAGCGUUGCUCGGAAUCACUGGGCGUAAAGGGUGCGUAGGCGGGGUCUUUAAGUCAGAGGUGAAAUCCUGGAGCUCAACUCCAGAACUGCCUUUGAUACUGAGGAUCUUGAGUUCGGGAGAGGUGAGUGGAACUGCGAGUGUAGAGGUGAAAUUCGUAGAUAUCUGGAGGAAUACCGGUGGCGAAGGCGGCAUCCUGGACCGACAUUGACGCUGAGGAGCGAAAGCUAGGGAGCAAACGGG
rnacentral:rRNA from 1 species